GCAGCUGUAGGUUAAGCCAGAUUUUACAAAAGAAAUCAAUAGUUAGAGAUAUGGAGAUUUUGGUCAGUUUCAUCAUUUGCUUUGUUCCAUUAUUGUUUUGAGAUUUCAGUGAAUCGGUUAGACUUUUUUUUUUCCUAUUCCGAUUUUGGUUAAUGAUUCAAUUUUAUUUAGGGUUUAUAAUCCUAGGUGAUAGUGCAGGUUUUUUUUAUGUUUCCAUUUUGUUUGUAAUGUGCAGGGUUUCUUGAUUAAAGGCAUCUUUUUUCAUUCCAGAUCUGUUUGAGGGUUUCUUGAUUAAAGGCAUCUUUUUCAUUCCAGAUCUGUUUGAGAUGGUUUACCUUUGGAAUUAAUUGUUUUCGAACUAAUAUACACCUGUUUUUUAUUUUUAUUUUUGUGAUAUUGUGUUAUAAGUUGACUUAACAAUUGUAUGCAGACAGGUUCAGGCAAGACCUACACCAUGGGCACUAACCCAAAAGAACCUUCCCAUAGAGGACUUAUUUUUCAAAUUAUGAACACAAUAUUUAGCAAGAUCGAGGCAUCGAAACAUCAGUCUGAAUUCCAAUUGCACGUUUCCUUCAUUGAGAUUCUAAAAGAAGAAGUGAGGGACUUGCUGGAUUCAGUCAUUAUCGAAAGACUAGAAACCAGUGACAGAAAUCUCGAGAAUGCAAUUCCCGAAAAGCAUCCGUUACAAAUUCGCAAAGCACUAGACGAAGCUGAAAACUCAGGAUCAAAUGAAGUUAGUGUUAGCACACAGAAAGAUAUGGCAGCUUGCCUUGAACAAGGAUGUUCGAAUCGCUCCAUAGCAUCAACAGAUAUGAACAAUCAAUCAAGUCGUUCUCACGCAAUCUUCACCGUACAUUUAGAGCAGAAGGAUAAAAACACAGGUGAAACCGAUUCAAUCGAACUUAUGGGCAAGGAAUACCGAUGUGCAAAGUUACAUUUGGUAGACCUUGCUGGAUCCGAGAGAGCUAAGAGAUCAGGUUCAGAAGGGGUUCGUUUGAAAGAAGGUUAGUGCACGUGUUAUCAAUAACGUACCAUCAAGUUUCGGCUAAUCAGCGGCUAGGAGGAACGAGGCAGCGGAAUGACUAAGAGAAAUGGAGCAUGGUGCGGCGGAGGUGCUGCCGGCCAAACCCUAUGAGGAACAUUUCUGUCAGUCCCUUCGCAACGGCCUCAUCCUCUACAAUGUUCUCAACAAAUUCAACCCCGGUGCUAUUCCAUGAGGUGGUCGAAAUUCUAAUUAUUGAGACCGAGGGGGCGGCACAAACAGCAAUUCAGUAUUUUGAAAACAUGCGUACUUUUUUGGUUGCUGUUGCUCGAAUGAAGCUUCUUACGUUCGAGGUUUCUGAUCUUGAAAAGAUAAAGAGGUGGAACAUGUCAUACUUGCUUAGUGCGUAUGGCAUCCAUCUACACCAUACUGUGAAUAUUCAAUUUUUUUACAGCUCACUUGAACCAUUUGUUGGAGUACUACAUGCAACAAAAUUCGUGCUUGCUGAAAGCUUCCAUGGUUGUAGGUUUUCAGCUUGGGUACACUGUGAUAUUUGGGUCAUAAGCAUCAUUUUUCUUUGUCCGCACUGGACACAUAGCAGCACCACUUGUGUCUACUAUUAAAGGAUGGUGUUGACCUGAACCAUUGUGUAACAGCUGCUGCUGCUGAGUUUAAAUGUCAUGAUGAAUUUAAUUACUUUAGCGCUACUGGUAACUGUUAGGUCUGGUUUACAACAUAAAAAGUCCUAUGGAAAGUCAAGGUAUAAAAAGUCCAUACUUGACAUAUUGUCAAAAUUGUCAAAAUUUGGUCAAUUAUGCUCAGAUGGCUAAAGAUUGGAUGCUGGUCAACAGUCGUCAAAAUUCAGAAAGUCAAAAUUGAUUAUAAUCAAAGAUGGUCAACUGUACAAACUGUUUCAGAAGUUGAAAAUUCGAAAAAUGUCAAGUUCAAGCAGUUAUUAACAACUAAAGUCAGGGAUUUGAAGUCAAGGCUCUCAAAAGUCCAAAUGGGUUAAUUUGGAUCGAACAAAAGUGGGAAGAUUUGUUAAAGGUGGAUUGGAAGAUGAAGAUUUAUAGUAUUCAGGCGUGGAACCGGGACUGAUUAGGCUGAAAAGUGAGGACCAAGGACCAGACCAUAUGAGGAUGGAUUAGUCCAGUCUUUCGCGGGUUGGCUCGGCCGGUUUUGUCAAGAUGGUCGGGUCAGAUCGGAAAUUGUUCGGCUGUAGAAUGCAUGGGUAUGAAUAGGAGGUUUUGAAUGGUAACGAGUAAAACAACAAAUGUAGUCUACAAGGAAGUUUUUUCCGGCAUUUGAAUAGUUUUCUGUAUUUUUCUUCCAAUGUAUGUAUUUGUAUUGUGUGUUACUUUUGUUAAUCUGAUAUUUAAUUGCUUUACCUAGUUAUUAUUAACUAGAAUUUAA